rnacentral:lncRNA from 1 species
AAGGAAGCACAGGCCCAGCUUCUAAUUCGGCCAAAGGGUUUUAAAGACUAAAUUCUAGCAUUUUCUGAAUGCUUCAUAGAUGUUCCAGAAGACAUUAAUAAUAAAUGACUACAAUAAGCAUUCCAAAUGAUAUUCUAAAAUGAGUACUUUCUGGCCGGACAGUGACUCACGCCUAUAAUCCCAUCACUUUGGGAGGCCGAGGCAGACAGAUCACUUGAGGUCAGGUGUUGGAGACCAGCCUGGCCAACAUGGUGAAACCCCGUCUCCAUUAAAAAUACAAAAAUUAGCCGGGCAUAGUGGUGCAUGCCUGUAAUCCCAGCUACUCAGGGGCUGAGGCAGGAGAAUGGCUCAAACCCAGGAGGCAGAGGUUGCAGUGAGCCGAGAUUUGUGCCACUGCACUGUAGCCUGGGCAAGAGAGCAAGGCUCCAUCUCAAAAAUAAAAAAUAAAAUGAGUACUUUCUGUGAUCAAAACUAUCAGCUAAACUAUUUCAUCAAAAGACCCCACUAAUCAGGAAAACUGAUGCCAAAGAUACCAAAAUUGAUCAGUGGAAAACACUGGUUUAUAACUCGACGCUUUGUAGAAGUGCACAUUUUGAUAAUUUGUAUUAAAGACACUAAGAUACAUGAAGCACUGUGUAAGUUUGGCAGACAUUAAUAUACUAAUUUCAGAGGCGGUAAACCUAUGAACCCUCAAUGUUCUAGUUUGCUCUUGAAAAUCACACUAUUUCAAAGCUUAGUAAUGUGGAUAGAUUUUUAUUCAGAAAUCCUUUCAUAUUCACUAACUGCAAUUAAAUGUUUAAAAUUACAUGGCUCUUAGGAACGAUGUCAAACAUGCAACAUUUUAAGAGUGAUAGAUUUAAACAGUAAUUUUGCCCUCAGAAGUUUACUUAUCAAAUUAUUACAACAGAAACACAAACAGACCAUAUAUUACUCUUUAAUUGGAUUUGUUUUACAAUAUGUUCUUGUCAAUGAGCUACUGUUUAAACCUGACAGAAAAGCAUUUUCACAAAAACGCACCAUGGAGAGGGAGAGGGAGGGGGAGGGAAGAAGCGCUUUUUCUAGAGAUGGGAAAUAGUCCCAGUAAAAAAUUCUUACUCCUUUCUUCUAAGGAGCUCGUUCUGAAUAUUUUCACUUAGUUCUAUUGUUCUUUAAACAGGACUUUAAAAAUAAUUUUGUAUUUACAAAAUUUACAUUUUGUUGCUACAAAAUGUAAUUUACAUUGUAAAAUAAAAAUGUAAAAUUUUAA